GUGUGAGUAUAUGAUAUACAUACGUGCACUAUAUUUGUUUUGUCUUAGGGUCCUCCACGUUCUCCAGAUACGCCCUCAUUCUGAUCUGUUGUGUUGUUGGAUGUCUGAUGAUUGUGGCUUCAGUUCUGAUCUUCUGCAUCUGCAGGAAACGAAAAAACACAAAACAACAGAGCAAGUGAAAACUACUGCUAAUAUAAUUGUAAUAUAAUGUAUUAAAUGUCUGAUAUAACCCAAUAAUGUACUUUCAUGUGUCUAAUAUAUAAUUGUUAAAACAGUUCAGAUCGGUAAAGAGGAGAUCAAUUACACAGAUCUAACAGUCAAUGAAACACAAGCACAUGAAACUAGAGCUCCCGUUAUGGAUGAUGUGGUGUAUGCAGGAGUCGUAAGUCAAGAUGAUUGACUGUGAUCAAAGAAAGAGACUACAGACACAAACUGAUAAAGACUGAGGAAGACAUCUGACCUCUCAAACCUCCACAUGAGGAAAAUUAAGAUUUUAUUACAACACUGAUUAAUAUAACAUCAACUACUGAUGGACACCAACCUGAUCUCACAAAUUUCCGUGGCAUAGUCACAGAAUUUUUUGCUCAUUUUUCCGUGGCAUUCUCAUGGAUCUCCGCAUUUUCCGACUUUUUUUCUGUGGCAUUCUCACGGAUUGGUUACUCAACUGCUUUUUCCUAUUUUCAUACGAUUUAAAUUACAGCGGUGGGAAAAUAAUUUAAGUCAUUGGCUUAAUUUUAUUGCAUAUAUAUGAAGCGUUCCGUUGCAAAACGAGAUAAAUCCAUUUUUAACAUUUUUGUCAAUUUAUGUUUAUUAUUAUGUUAUCAUGUUAUUAUUUUGUUUUAUGGUGCUACUUAGCUGUAUUUUUUAAGUUAUGAAGGUUUAAAUCAAAACAAACCAACUGCAGUUGAAUUGAUAUUAAUUGGAAUGCACAACCAAAAAAUGAGAUUUCUGAAAAA